rnacentral:rRNA from 1 species
CCUACGGGAGGCAGCAGUCGAGAAUCAUUCACAAUGGGGGAAACCCUGAUGGUGCGACGCCGCGUGGGGGAAUGAAGUUCUUCGGAUUGUAAACCCCUGUCAUGUGGGAGCAAAUUAAAAAGAUAGUACCACAAUAGGCAGAGACGGCUAACUCUGUGCCAGCAGCCGCGGUAAUACAGAGGUCUCAAGCGUUGUUCGUAAUCACUGGGCGUAAAGCGUGCGUAGGCUGUUUCGUAAGUCGUGUGUGAACGGCGCGGGCUCAACCCGCGGACGGCACAUGAUACUGCGGGACUAGAGUAAAGGAGGGGGAACCGGAAUUCUCGGUGUAGCAGUGAAAUGCGUAGAUA